rnacentral:rRNA from 1 species
CAGUAGCCACGGGAAUACGUAGGUGGCAAGCGUUGUCCGGAAUUAUUGGGCGUAAAGGGCUCGCAGGCGGUUUCUUAAGUCUGAUGUGAAAGCCCCCGGCUCAACCGGGGAGGGUCAUUGGAAACUGGGAAACUUGAGUGCAGAAGAGGAGAGUGGAAUUCCACGUGUAGCGGUGAAAUGCGUAGAGAUGUGGAGGAACACCAGUGGCGAAGGCGACUCUCUGGUCUGUAACUGACGCUGAGGAGCGAAAGCGUGGGGAGCGAACAGGAUUAGAUACCCCCGUAGUCCCUGUCUCUUAUAA